GAACGCUGGCGGCAGGCCUAACACAUGCAAGUCGAGCGAGGACUUCGGUCCUAGCGGCGGACGGGUGAGUAACGCGUGGGAACGUGCCCUUUGGUACGGAAUAGCCCGGGAAACUGGGAGUAAUACCGUAUGGUGUCUUCGGACUAAAGAUUUAUCGCCAAAGGAUCGGCCCGCGUUGGAUUAGGUAGUUGGUGGGGUAAUGGCCUACCAAGCCGACGAUCCAUAGCUGGUUUGAGAGGAUGAUCAGCCACACUGGGACUGAGACACGGCCCAGACUCCUACGGGAGGCAGCAGUGGGGAAUCUUAGACAAUGGGGGCAACCCUGAUCUAGCCAUGCCGCGUGAGUGAUGAAGGCCCUAGGGUUGUAAAGCUCUUUCAGCUGGGAAGAUAAUGACGGUACCAGCAGAAGAAGCCCCGGCUAACUCCGUG
rnacentral:rRNA from 1 species